rnacentral:rRNA from 1 species
AUUGAACGCUGGCGGCAUGCCUUACACAUGCAAGUCGAACGGCAGCACAGCAGAGCUUGCUCUGUGGGUGGCGAGUGGCGGACGGGUGAGGAAUACAUGGGAAUCUGCCCAGUCGUGGGGGAUAACGUAUGGAAACGUACGCUAAUACCGCAUGCGCCCUACGGGGGAAAGCCGGGGACCGCAAGGCCUGGCGCGAUUGGAUGAGCCCAUGUUCGAUUAGCUAGUUGGCGGGGUAAAGGCCCACCAAGGCGACGAUCGAUAGCUGGUCUGAGAGGAUGAUCAGCCACACUGGAACUGAGACACGGUCCAGACUCCUACGGGAGGCAGCAGUAGGGAAUAUUGGACAAUGGGGGCAACCCUGAUCCAGCCAUGCCGCGUGAGUGAAGAAGGCCCUCGGGUUGUAAAGCUCUUUUGUCCGGAAAGAAAAGCAAUCGGUUAAUACCCGGUUGUCCCUGACGGUACCGGAAGAAUAAGCA